UUGAACGCUGGCGGAAUGCUUUACACAUGCAAGUCGGGCGGCAGCGCGGGGGCAACCCUGGCGGCGAGCGGCGAACGGGUGAGUAACAUAUCGGAACGUACCCAGACGUGGGGGACAACUAGUCGAAAGACUAGCUAAUACCGCAUACGUCCUGAGGGAGAAAGCGGGGGAUCGCAAGACCUCGCGCGUUUGGAGCGGCCGAUAUCUGAUUAGCUAGAUGGUGGGGUAAAGGCCCACCAUGGCGACGAUCAGUAGCCGGUCUGAGAGGAUGAUCAGCCACACUGGAACUGAGACACGGUCCAGACUCCUACGGGAGGCAGCAGUGGGGAAUUUUGGACAAUGGGGGAAACCCUGAUCCAGCCAAUCCGCGUGAGUGAAGAAGGCCUUCGGGUUGUAAAGCUCUUUCGGCAGGAACGAAACGGCGGAAUCUAAUACAUUCCACUAAUGACGGUACCUGAAGAAGAAGCACCGGCUAACUACGU
rnacentral:rRNA from 1 species